UUUUAGUAUAUGAAAUUUUACUUUGAGAAAAUUAGAGUGCUUAAAGCAGGCAUAUGCCUUGAAUACUCCAGCAUGGAAUAAUAUUAAAGAUUUUUAUCUUUCUUAUUGGUUCUAAGAUAAGAAUAAUGAUUAAUAGGGACAGUUGGGGGCAUUUGUAUUUAACAGUCAGAGGUGAAAUUCUUAGAUUUGUUAAAGACAAACUAAUGCGAAAGCAUUUGCCAAGGAUGUUUUCAUUAAUCAAGAACGAAAGUUAGGGGAUCGAAGACGAUCAGAUACCGA
rnacentral:rRNA from 1 species